GAAACAGUGGCUAAGACUGGAUAGGAAGAUAAAAGGCAUCUUUUAUCUUUUAAAAGACCUAGUAAUAGGUAUGCUUUAGGAGGGGCUUGCGCCAUAUUAGUUAGUUGGUAGGGUAAUGGCCUACCAAGACGAUGAUGUGUAGCUGGACUGAGAGGUUGAACAGCCACAUUGGGACUGAGACACGGCCCAAACUCCUACGGGAGGCAGCAGUAGGGAAUUUUCGGCAAUGGAGGAAACUCUGACCGAGCAACGCCGCGUGAAUGACGAAGUACUUCGGUAUGUAAAGUUCUUUUAUCAAGGAAGAAAAGCAAAUGGCGAACCAUUUGUUUGCCGGUACUUGAUGAAUAAGCCCCGGCUAAUUAUGUGCCAGCAGCCGCGGUAAGACAUAAGGGGCAAGUGUUAUCCGGAAUUAUUGGGCGUAAAGGGUGCGUAGGCGGUCUAGUAAGUCAGUGGUGUAAUGGCAACGCUUAACGUUGUCCGGCUAUUGAAACUGCUAGACUUGAGUUAGAUAGAGGCGAGUGGAAUUCCAUGUGUAGCGGUAAAAUGCGUAAAUAUAUGGAGGAACACCAGAGGCGUAGGCGGCUCGCUGGGUCUUAACUGACGCUGAGGCACGAAAGCGUGGGGAGCAAACAGGAUUAGAUACCCUGGUAGUCCACGCCGUAAACGAUGAGUACUAAGUGUCGGGUUAAACCGGUACUGAAGUUAACACAUUAAGUACUCCGCCUGAGUAGUACGUACGCAAGUAUGAAACUUAAAGGAAUUGACGGGACUCCGCACAAGCGGUGGAUCAUGUUGUUUAAUUCGAAGAUACCCGAAAAACCUUACCAGGUCUUGACAUGUUUUUGCAAAAUGAUAGUAAUAUCGUGGAGGUUACCAGAAACACAGGUGGUGCAUGGUUGUCGUCAGCUCGUGUCGUGAGAUGUUAGGUUAAGUCCUAAAACGAGCGAAACCCUUAUCGUUAGUUGCCAGCACGUUAUGGUGGGGACUUUAACGAGACUGCCAAUGAUAAAUUGGAGGAAGGUGAGGAUCACGUCAAAUCAGCAUGCCCCUUAUGACCUGGGCUACAAACGUGAUACAAUGGCUGUUACAAAGGGUAGCUGAAACGCAAGUUCUUGGCCAAUCCCCAAAAACAGUCCCAGUCCGGAUUGAAGUCUGCAACUCGACUUCAUGAAGUUGGAAUCGCUAGUAAUCGCGAAUCAGCAUGUCGCGGUGAAUACGUUCUCGGGGUUUGUACACACCGCCCGUCA
rnacentral:rRNA from 1 species